GCGGGCGUAGUUUAGUGGUAAAACCUCAGUCUUCCACACUGAUGAUGUCGGUUCGAUUCCGUCCGCCCGCACCA
rnacentral:tRNA from 1 species